rnacentral:rRNA from 1 species
CACGUAGGGACCAAGCGUUGUCCGGAUUUAUUGGGCGUAAAGAGCUCGUAGGCGGUCGUGUAAGUCGGGUGUGAAAUCUCCGGGCUCAACUCGGAGGGGCCACCCGAUACUGCUCGACUCGAGUCCGGUAGGGGAGUGGGGAAUUCCUGGUGUAGCGGUGAAAUGCGCAGAUAUCAGGAGGAACACCGGUGGCGAAGGCGGAUCUCUGGGCCUUACCUGACGCUGAGGCGCGAAAGCGUGGGGAGCAAACAGG